GCCGCCCUAGCUCAGCUGGUUAGAGCAGCUGUUUUGUAAACAGCAGGUCCUCGGUUCGAAUCCGAGGGGCGGCU
rnacentral:tRNA from 3 species